CUGGAAGAAGUGAGGCAUAAAUGCAUUAUUGCACAUAAAGUGUAAAUACCAAUUCUUUAAUUUCUAAAUUUUUAGGAUUUUAUUUUUUCUUAACUCCCCUUAAAUAAAACGUCAGGGAAAAUUUUUAGCAUAAUUGAUUUCCUGAACUAAGGGAAUAAAUUCAUUUCAGAAGUUUUGACCUUCUAAAGUGCUGUUACUUUGCCUAAAAUGGAAGUAUGGAGGAGGCAGAAUAAAAAUUGUAAGACAUUUCCAGGUGAUUAUGGGGGUUGAGAACGCUUCCAUGUGUGUGCUGUGUGUGUUGGCAAUGUCAUUAUUUCAGGAACUGCUAUGAAAAAACCAAGUUUCCCUAUGUUUGGAUGUAAAACUUCAUCUACUUUUCAGAAGCUCUCCAAAAUUAUUUACCAGCUUGAGCCUGCUCCCUCAAAAGGAGCCUCAGUUCCUAACAAAAGUGGUAAGUUGUAAAAUGUAGGUCCUAGUUUUUACUUAAGUCAAAGGUUAAUAGUAAAAGGGGGGUUGAUUCCUCACUGUUUCAAGUUAAUGUUUAUUUUUCACCAUCAUUUAAAGGAUUUUUCAGGCCGUUAUUUCACUGCUGAAAGCAGAGUAAGAGAACUCAGAUCAUGCCCCAGGGCUUGAAUAAAGGAAUAAAAACAGCACAACAUUUGCAUCUAUUUAACUGUCUCAGUUCUAAGAGUCCCCUCACAGUAAGAGGGGGGAAACCGUAUCUCUAGGUUAAAUGAAGCUUUUCUGAGAUAUUUGCCGAAAACACAAUUCAGAGAAAGAUAAUCAUUGUCAGAAAUGACCUAGGAAGUCAAGGCCUUGUGAUUGAAAACACAAAGCUUAGAAAGGUGCAUUCUCUUGCUUCUCUGCCUGCCCGGAUAUCAAUGAACAUCAGCUAAAGGUGGCUGAAGAACCAAUUUCAUGCAUCUACUGUACGAGGAAAUGAACUGAGCCAAGGGCAAAAAUAAAAUUAUACAAAUGUUAUUAUAGACUAGCCUGCUUCUGUCCUAGUUUAAUUCAAAUUUUAGUGCUGCAGGCUUUGCUUCUGGCAGUAGCCUUCCUGAAUAAAUCAACAUUUGCUUACAUCUAAAUUAUUAGGGAAGCAUGUGACUUUGUUUAUUGUAUAAAUUAUACGCAAGGUUAAAGCAUUAACUGUUGAACUGGCUUUGUUCAGUCACCUCCCCAACUCUCCCCCAAAUCAUCUCUCCCCUAAAUAGGAAAUUAAAAUCUGAAACUACUAAUUGCUUUUAGACAAACCAAAUAACAAAGCUGCAUUAUGAACCUGAGGUUACAGAUGGAGAGCACUGUUAAAGGUGUGGCAGGAGACAGUCUUGGUGUUGAGGAAAAAGAAAGGCACUCUGGCCCAAGAAAUUGUUCACCUGAGCUCUGAUGGGGUGUCUGCACAAAGGAAAAUGGUGAUCUGGUAAAUAAUCGGUUAAGUUGAUUAAGGCAGCCAACCAAAUGGGAUAAUUUAAUACAAAACUAAAGAAAGCCUUUUGGCUAGGAUUUCAGUAAGCAAGGAAUUUCAAAUUAUAUUGCAAUGUUGGACCCAAACAUUUUUAUUGCCAUUAUCUGCUAGAAAGUUAGACAUAGGCUGGAAAACACACUUAGGAACAAUGAUUUGUUUUUUGUUUGUUUGUUUGUUUGUUUGUAUUGUUUUUCUCUCUGCACAUCACUGUGAAAUGACUCCUGAAAGACCAUCCAUACUUAUUUAGAAAAUAAGCCUGGGCUUUGAUAACUAGACAAUUUGACUUUCUAAGUGUUUAGACAAGCCAGGUAUCAGGUGUGUCCUGCUAUGAGAACAUCCAAUUUAAAUAAACAUCAAGGGUUCAGAGUAGACAAAUCAGAAGGUAAUUGUUUACUUUACAAAAGGUUCUUUUUAUAAGAUCAUCCGCAAUACGCUUGUUUUUGUUGACCUUUCCCACAGUAUAAUUUGCAAAAUUAUAAUUAAAUUCAAUCUUUUCCAAAAAUAUAUGUUUUUCUUUUUCUUUCUCAAGACUUUUUGUAGAAACUCUGCAGGUCAGAAGAUUUUUGUAUGGAAUGAUCUUCUCCAAUCAAUUAUUUGAAUCUAAGAGGAAGAGAAGAUCAUCAGUGGCAAAUGGCAGUCACAGGAAAGCAACACCCACAGCCGGUUUCACACGUGUGGAGAGCACCCUGAGCCUCCUCCUCCUGGUUUCCCGUGCUCUGCAAGUUCAGAGAAACUUCUCUCACAACCAACUAUAGAAAC
ensembl:lncRNA novel transcript